CAUUGUCCCUGCCUCUCCAGAACGUGAGCAGUUUUUACACUGUGAAAUUGGAUGUAACUUCUGUUCUUCUCUUGUGCAUUUGGAGACAUCUUGGUAUGUGCUAGUAUAUCUGCAUCAAGCAAGAAAAAUGGGAGCACUGGGGAUAUUUUCGGCCUUCAUGUUUGAAUAAGAAGUCAGAUGAAUUGCCAGGCAUAUGUAUGUGGAUUAUGGAUACAGAAGAAAAUUCCCAUUGUAUAAAGAAGAAUAUAUGCUGAGCACUGAAGCAGAGAAAAUGAAAGGUGUUUCUACCAAAUGAAAUAAAUAAAGUAACCAUACACCUCUAAGAAACUUGUAGGUGUUUGAGACCUUGUGAUAAAGCUACCACGUUAAGGCAGAAUCAUUGAAUCCUUAGAGUUGGAAGGGAUCUCUGAAGGCCAUAUAGUCCAAUUCCCCUGCAAUGACCAGGGAUACCACAGCCACAUCAGAUUGCCCAGGGCCUGAUCCAGCCUCGCCUGGAAAGUCUCCAGGGAUGGGGUAUCAA
rnacentral:lncRNA from 1 species